ensembl:lncRNA
GUUACAGUCCUCAAGAGUGAACAUAAACCUUUGCUAAUCUGUAAUCAUGUUCAUCUAAAUAGUUGUAUUUGAGUUGAAAUAUUGUCAAACAUGUCUUGGUUCACAUAUUCUUUCACUAAAACGAGGACGUCUGUGACGAAUUCCUCUGAGUAGCAUAUGCAAACCAUGUAGUAAUUUAUUCUGAAGCAGCUGUAUUGAAGAAGCCACACUUCACUGCUCUGUACUUCCAUACUAUUGAGGGGGUUCUGUGGUGUUGGAUGUGCUUCACGUUUAGGAUGGGAUUACUCUCAAAUCUAAUGAACGGGCCCACUGGGACCAGGACUUGAGACAUCUGGCGGCGAGGGUGGGGUGGUCGUGUGGAGUAGUCCCCCCCACCACCCCCACCCAUCAGGCGCACUGACAGCCCACUGACAGAUAACAGCUGCUGGGAAAGCCUCCCACUGUUUCAAGCUACUGUUCUUGAGUCUGCAGCUUGUGUCAUUUCUUAAGCACCAAAUGACGACUGCUUCAGAAAGGUCUGGAAUCCUGAUGAAAUUAUAGUCUCGGUACAAAAGGACAUUUCCUCAUUUCUGUAGCAUUGCAUUCAUUAUGCGGAUGACAUAUGGGUCACUAACAAUGAGACUGCAUACUGUUUUAAAAUGCAUUUUAAUUAUUUAUUGUGCAUUUCAUUUUAUUACAGUGCUGGAGGAAGGUGAUUUAGAGCUUUCCAGAUCAGAGUAUUUGGUCGGUGCAAGAGUGGAUACGGUGUCAGGAAUGUGACUUUGCCUUAAGUGAGGAGAGUGGGGUUUUUUUUGUAGUCGAAGUGUCUGUGUUUUUUUCUCUCUGCAGAGUUUCUCUUACCAGUAAAACUGUUUGUACCAUAUAAAAGCAAAAUCAUACUUUCAGCUGGACUGUUUUACUUAGUAAUAUUGCAGCUGUUAUUCAGUUUCAGGCCCAAGGCUGCAAGCCGAGAGCUGCAGGUAAUCGCAGACGUACUGAUAUUAAAGCCUUCUUUCUUGUGUGAUAUUGCUUAAAUAUAUCUCUUGUCAUUCUAUUCUAGACCUAUGGGUGUGGUGCAUUUGGAGAUACUGGAUAUACAGGAGUGACCUGUAGCUGCCAGCUGUUUGAUUCUGUGGUAUAACAAGUGAGUUUUGUUGAGUGUGAAUCAACUCUGAAACUAUUAAGCUGGAAGACACCAACCCCCCAAACACGACCCCCCCAAACUUUAAAACUUGAAAUAGUAAUGUAUAUACCGGUCACUGGUACAAUGCAUUCUAGCAGAACAUUAAUUGUGUAGAUUACUCAUAAUUGUCCACAGUUGUUCAAAGUGAGAAAUUUAUAAUCAACUUUUUAGACAGAAAUUGUAAGCACUGUGUUUUAUGGGAUUUGAUAAAAGAAAUUGAUUAAAAAUUACCUUUUAAAAUGAUUUAAAAUCAAAAUGAGUACAUUCUAAUACUGCUUUUAACCAGAAAGUGUUGUACAUAGUGAGUAAGUACGCCAUAUUAAUGGUCAAGUUCACAUCCAGUUUCAGAUAUAUUCUGGCAAUAAAUUUUCCUGAGAUGAAGGCCA